rnacentral:lncRNA from 1 species
UUUUUCUUGCAUUAAUUCCUAUAUUGUGUGCAUGGGCACAGACUUUUGUUGACUUCGUGAAUAUAUUUCCUAGUUGUCGAAUGAUGUGAUUCUCAAAUGUAAGGUGAUAUUGAACAGCAUAAAUAAUAGGGAUUCACCUUGCUGAGCACAUUUGUUAAACUCAAACGAAAAUUUAGCUCUUCCUCUUAUAUUUAAGUCUGUGAAGAUGGAAUUAUAACAUUUGUUUCCCUAUAUUUCAAGAAAAAUGCAAAAACUCGGCAGCUCUCGACAUUAAUGAUAUUAAAAAUUUCCAGAACCAGACUUUAUAUUUAUUAGACUAUGUAUGUUAAAAUAUUUUUUCUCUAAAAAAAGCAUGAAUUCAUAAUUUAAAGCUAAAAUAUUUUCAUGAAUGCAAUCAAUAAAUGCUAUACUUAUAUGCUUAAACAAAUGUUUUAGAGUAUGUUGCUGGUUAUUUUUUUCAUUAUUCCACAAAGUAUGGGGAUUUUCGUAGUUUUUUGAAAUUUGCUAAUGCUUUUACUGUUCAAUUUUAUCUAUUUUAGGUUAGUUACAGUUCAAGAAUUGUCUAAUUCUUCUGAAUCAACUUCAAAAUCAUCUGUAAAUACAUUAGGGAAAGAUGAUAAAGUCCAGACUGCUGUUCAACAAGGGGCUGUGGAGAUGGCGAUAUAGAAACAUCAGAGAAAAUAGUACAAGAAGGUCUCUCCAGAUGCUCAGAACUUUGAAUGUGAUUGGAAAGAAGCAGCAAAAUGCUCUGAUAUAUUGAGAUUAGAGUGGUCUCCGGUGUUUUAUACUUAUGUUCAUGCUUCAAUUCUCUUUAUAAUUGUAGAAGAAGGAAAUACAGAAUUACAAGGUACUAUUUCAGAAAUGAUGGAGAAAGUUCCAAGCUUAAAACAAUGAUUAGCUGGUAAAUCAAUACCUUUAGAAAAGUAUGUAGUAUGAAAAUCUGUCAAGUUUGUGUCCCAGAAAGGUCGUCUGAUUUUUCCAGCAUUGGAAUUGUUGUAUAAUUGGAGGAAUAGUUUUCCAAUGAUAGCAAAAUCUCGUGAACUUACUGAAAAUAUUCUUUGUAAAAUCAACUCUAUAUUUUCUAGUCUUGGAGAUGCCAAAGAUAAAUUCAUUGCAGUUUUGAAUGUAAACAGUAAGGGCUAAUAAUGUAUAGAUAUAGAGGGCACACCACAUGAUUAAUAUUACUGAGAGGUGUAUAUAAUUUGGUCGAGUCAGCGGUACUAAUUUGGGUCGCAUCAAUCAAGUUGAAGAUUGUUUCGGUGGAGUCAUUUCUUGGCUUCCCUAUUGCAUAGACCUCUUCAUUAAAAUGUAAGAUACAAAAGUCCCAUUUAAUGCAAUGUUAUUUUACUGUCCAUUAUACUAGCUGUCAGAAAAAUGACCUAGAAUUUGAAAUAUUAACUAAAGAAAAAAUGAAGGUGAUAAAAUUACAUGCUUUUGUACUGUUCUUAAGAAACUAGGUAAUUUUUUAGUUUCAAAAUUAGUUGCACACAAUUGAACAAAAGUUCUGAUAAUAUUAAAAGACAACAGAAGGAAAUUUUUCUAAAUGACUACCAUCUGCAGCAAAACCUGCCCAAGUUUAAGGACAUUAAUUUAGACAUGACAUUCUUGCAAAUACUUUUUUAGUUGGAACAAUGGUGUUUGUAGCCAUAGAUUCCAUCUGCUGACAAUUUUAGUAUCUAAUUUUGAAAUUUAACAAGAAAAUUUUUUUAGUAAAUAUCCACCCUUCUUUGCUUAAUUUUUCAAAUCAUACGUAAUUUUUGGCACACCUGGUAUGUCUACCAGGUAUAUGUCUACUAUGAGAGUAUGUCUACCAGCAUAAUAUAUUUUUAAAAUAAAUUUAUUGCCAUAGAGACUUUGUUUUCUUAUUUGUUUUGUUGACAAACAGAUACAAUGAUAUUCUGCGGCAAUCUCGGAUCUCAAUUUUCCCAAUUUUGAAUAUUUGACUACUAACAUCGCGGAAACUGCUAAUAUCUCCAUUCUUAUUCAUGUCAUUUUAAUAUCAAACAUACAUUUUGCGUAGUCGCCAAAGGAAUCAGCUGGAUGACGUACACUCAAUAACCUUAAAUAAUAUUUAAAUUAAUUAGAGUUUUUAAUUACCUUUUACAAAAUUAAAUAAAGUAAUUAUUAAUUUAAAAAAUAGUAUGAGCCACUCAAUAUUGAAUUUAUUUAAAUUGGUUUUGGCAAAAGCUCAUUUUUAAGAAAUAUUUCGGCUAUAUUAAAUAAAUUUCUAGGUUUUUUCCAAGCUGAGACACCAUUGAUUCACUUGCUGUAUGAUGAAAUGGUGUCUCUUGUUUAAGCAUUGUUAGGGCGUUUUUUUAAAGAGUUUUGCUUUUCUUAGUUUGAAUAGGAUGGACUAAAAUAUUUGGAUGUAGAAAACGCAGAAAUUUGCCAAAAUUCAAAUUUAAUACAUGUUGGACUAGAUAUCACAAAUAAGAUGACAUCCUUAUCUUCUUCAGGAAAAAAUUCAAUGUAUUUAGGUGCCAGGUCUAUAGCAUGUGCAGAAAAGUUAUUAAAAGCAUUGCUUCUUGAAAACAUGUUACUGUACCAUCUUAAAGUGUUGCAUCCUGUAAUGAGAAUGGAAGACACUUCUAUUAAGUCAAUAAGAUAUCUGGCAACAGUAACUCCAUUCAUUAUAAAUCCAGAUUAAGCAUCUUUGUUACUGUUAUGUGGAGAACCAGAAGGUUAUUCUUCUGACUCAAAUGAAUAUGCACCAAUUGAUGUGUUUUGGAACUGUUUUGUGACUUGUGAUUUGAUGUGUUUUUGUGUGUACUUGGACUAUUUUGUGAAGAAAGAUAAUUUGGGAAAUAUCAAAUAUCCUCUUAUAACAAAGCUUUUUAAAGCUCUUUUGUGUAUACCACAUGGGAAUGCUGAUGUUGAAAGAGGUUUUAGUAUCAGAGAGGUUUUAGUUUUGUUCAUAUGUGUGAAUAAAAAACUACUUGACAAUAGGGCAAGUUUCAAUUUGCAUAGUGUUAAUAGUUUGAGACAAGUUGUCACAUAUCAGCUGGGAAUUUAAGUAGCUUUAAAGUUGACAAAGAUAUGAUUAAAGGGACCAAUGCAGCAUUUAAAAAUUAUUCUGCUUGAUUAGAGGUUGAGAAAAAAGAAAGCGAAAAGAAUGUGAAAACACUGAAACUGAGGAAAGCAGAUUCAAAGCUGCUGAAAUUGAUUUGCUAAAAAAAUUGAAGGCUUCUCAAGAUCUCUUAGCCACAGCUGAAAAAAAUAUUAAAGAUG